UGAGUACAUGCAUCUUGUCUCAUUUCUCCUGUCUCCUCAUUAGCACUAAGCCUCAUGACCUCAGCUGUCUGCACCUCUUGAACGUUUCUCCUCAAAAACACCAUGAACAUUCAUGCUUCUUUUUCCUCAUAUCAUUCAAAAAAUAUGAUUUUAAAUUAUAAGGGGCCUUAUGAAAUAAAAAUGUCUAAGAAAAGAAAUAUAUCUCAUUAAGAUGAAGGCCUCAUUUUCAGUAAGAUGUAAGUAAAAUAAAACUUACAUCCUGACUUUUUAGAAAAUGCUCUGUUAUGUAACCUAUAACUAGGUGGUAUGGCAUAGAAGUUUCUUCCACUAUAUAUUGAUGGAGUUUCAAAGAUAUGAAGGUGCUGUGGUCUGGAUGUACCACCAAAUUCUGGUGUUGAAAUCCUAACCCUCAAAGAGGUGGGGCCUUUGGGAGGUGAUUAGAUCAUGAGGGUGGAUCCCUUAACUCUUCCAUUAUAUGAGGACAAACCAAAAAACUGAACCAAGUCUGAACUAGGAAGCUGGCCCUCACCAAGCACCGCACCUGCCAGCACCUUGGACUUCCCAGCCUCCAGAACGGAAAGAAGACCAAGAUGUAAGCACACCUGAGCAGAUCCUUUUCCAAGUAUCCUGAUGUCUCCAAGGGCUGUUCAGAUUCCAAAGAGAACUAUCUACAAGUUAAUCUCUGUUACUGGAGUCAUUCAUUCUCCGUAGUAAUCUGCUCCACAGAAUUCCUCUUCUCUUCCCUCCCAUAACCUGUUUUACCAGGAUCCAAGCCUCCAUUCUUUCUGUAACCUCAUUGGGAAGUUGGUUCUUCAUUUGGAAGGCUCCCAUGUGUACAUGUUAAAUAAAUAUCUAUGCCUUUUCUUCUGUUAAUCAGUCUGCUUCAGUCAGUGAUUUUUAGUGAAACUUUAGGGG
rnacentral:lncRNA from 10 species